UGAGCUCGAUGAGUAGGGCGGGACACGUGGUAUCCUGUCUGAAUAUGGGGGGACCAUCCUCCAAGGCUAAAUACUCCUGACUGACCGAUAGUGAACCAGUACCGUGAGGGAAAGGCGAAAAGAACCCCGGCGAGGGGAGUGAAAAAGAACCUGAAACCGUGUACGUACAAGCAGUGGGAGCCCCACCACCAAAGCAUUCUCUGGUGUUGAAGGCCCUGCAAAGCAGCAUCGCGGUGGCGGAGCGUCGUUUGCGACGCCCAACACACAAAACAAGCGGUGAGUGCUUUGGGGUGGGGUGACUGCGUACCUUUUGUAUAAUGGGUCAGCGACUUAUAUUCUGUAGCAAGGUUAACCGAAUAGGGGAGCCGGAGGGAAACCGAGUCUUAAUUGGGCGUUAAGUUGCAGGGUAUAGACCCGAAACCCGGUGAUCUAGCCAUGGGCAGGUUGAAGGUUGGGUAACACUAACUGGAGGACCGAACCGACUAAUGUUGAAAAAUUAGCGGAUGACCUGUGGCUGGGGGUGAAAGGCCAAUCAAACCGGGAGAUAGCUGGUUCUCCCCGAAAGCUAUUUAGGUAGCGCCUCGUGAAUUCAUCUCCGGGGGUAGAGCACUGUUUCGGCUAGGGGGCCAUCCCGGCUUACCAACCCGAUGCAAACUGCGAAUACCGGAGAAUGUUAUCACGGGAGACACACGGCGGGUGCUAACGUCCGUCGUGAAGAGGGAAACAACCCAGACCGCCAGCUAAGGUCCCAAAGUCAUGGUUAAGUGGGAAACGAUGUGGGAAGGCCCAGACAGCCAGGAUGUUGGCUUAGAAGCAGCCAUCAUUUAAAGAAAGCGUAAUAGCUCACUGGUCGAGUCGGCCUGCGCGGAAGAUGUAACGGGGCUAAACCAU
rnacentral:rRNA from 1 species